rnacentral:lncRNA from 13 species
UUAGACAUAUUGUCUGAUUAUCUCAUUCUCUAAAUACAGGUUGGAAGUUUUCAUAAAUUCUUUCUUGGAAGAGAUAGGAGAAUUAGGAUGAUCUCCUCUAGGGAAAUAAAUGGGAUAUGACUCUACACCUCUCUGAAAAGUCAUGAACUUGUUCUACUUUCAGUAUAAUGGCCUUGAAUCUGGAGAACAUCAUCCUCAGCAAACUGACACAAGAACAGAAAAUGAAACACCGCAUAUUCUCACUCAUAGAUCAAAACUGCAACAGAAUUUCCAGAUAGCACCAAGUAACAGAACUAAAUUGACACAUAUACCUAUGGAACUAAAAGAUACCAGAUUUUCAAAGUUAUGCCAAAUCUAAGUAAGGAACUUAGUAUAGAAAUUUUUAUAAAAGACGUCGUCUUCCAUCCUCUUGAAGACACCUUUGUUAGAUUGAAAGGAGCUACAUAUUCUUUGCCAUUCUUUGCCAUUUAUUCUAAUUAUCAAUAUAGACUAUUGCCCCUCCUCUUAGAUCUGGAUGGUCCUGUGAUUGGUUUUGAGUGAUAGAAUACAGCAGAAGAGAUGCUGUGGUAAUUCUGAGGCAGGGUCCUAAAAGAUCUGCACGCUCUGCCUUCACAUCUUGAAAUAUUUCUUUUUGGAAUCACCAUGCUCUCCAAAGCCCAAAUAAACUGGGAAAAGGCCAUAUGAGAGGAGCGAAG